GCCGGGCAUGGUGGUGCGCGCCUGUAAUCCUAGCUACUUGGGAGGCUGAGACAAGAGGAUUGCUUGAACCCAAGAGGCAGAGGCUGCAGUGGGCUGAGAUUGGGCCACUGCACUCCAGCCUGGGUGACAGAGCAAGACUCUGUCUCAA
ensembl:misc_RNA Metazoa_SRP Metazoan signal recognition particle RNA